UAUUGUAUUUCUUAUACUGCUACUUAGCCUAAUAAACGAUGUUUAUCUUUCAAUUAAAAUCAAUCCAUGUUGAUCUCGAUCGAUAACUCGUUUAGUUAGCACGAGAUUGUGAAAGUUCCGAUCACAGCGAUCGAAUGAAGUUAUUAAACAGAAAACCGUGAAAUAUAUCGAAGAUAAGUGAUAUGUGAUUGUAAGUCAUGCUCGUAUUUUAUUUUAUGAACACAGUUGUUGUCUCAAAGAAGAAUAACUGAAGAUUGAACAAUUAAAUCAAUUUCUAAUUUCAAAUGCAGAGUAAAGAAUUUGAAAGGUUUAUUUGGUAAACCUGAAAAUAUUAAAAAAAUUAAAUUUUUCUGAAA